rnacentral:sRNA from 1 species
CUAUGCCAAGGAAAUCUAGUAGAAAGGGAAAGUCUGUUGGCUCUGCACUUCAGAUGUCAGCGGAAGAAUCGGAUUAUAUCAAAAAGCUCCAACGCAGGACGAAGUCUCUCGACGAGGGUAAAAAGAGUUUGCCAUCAGACGUGCUGGAAUCGAAAGUGUCUGUCGUAUCAAGAUUUGCUAAAUUAGAAAGUAAAUUAGAUG